AUAUUGAAAAACAACAGAUGAUCUGCUUCGAAGGGACAUAAACAGGCCAAGCGGAUGCAGGUUAAUAAAACCCAAAAAAAAAGCCCAGACAGGAACACUUAAAAUGCCCGAGAAACAAAGCACACCAUGACAAAUUCUCACCCAACACACAAGUACACGCACCGGAAUGUUCCCAGACAC
rnacentral:sRNA from 1 species